rnacentral:rRNA from 1 species
CGUUUUUAGUUGUUGCAGUUAAAAGCUCGUAGUCGGAUUUUGGCUGAGAACGGUCGGUCCGCCGUUAGGUGUGCACUGACUGGUCUCAGCUUCCUGGUGAGGAGGUGUGCUUCAUCGCCACUUAGUCACCGUGGUUACUUUGAAAAAAUUAGAGUGUUCAAAGCGGGCUUACGCUUGAAUAUAUUAGCAUGGAAUAACACCAUAGGACUCCUGUCCUAUUUCGUUGGUCUCGGGACGGGAGUAAUGAUUAAGAGGAACAGUUGGGGGCAUUCGUAUUUCAUUGUCAGAGGUGAAAUUCUUGGAUUUAUGAAAGACGAACUUCUGCGAAAGCAUUUGCCAAGGACGUUUUCAUUGAUCAAGAACGAAAGUUGGGGGCUCGAAGAUGAUUAGAUACCAUCCUAGUCUCAACCAUANACGAUGCCGACUAGGGAUUGGCGGAUGUUAAUUGAUGACUUCGCCAGCACCUUAUGAGAAAUCAAAGUUUUUGGGUUCCGGGGGGAGUAUGGUCGCAAGGCUGAAACUUAAAGGAAUUGACGGAAGGGCACCACCAGGCGUGGGAGCCUGCGGCUUAAUUUGACUCAACACGGGGGAAACUUACCAGGUCCAGACAUAGUAAGGAUUGACAGAUUGAGAGCUCUUUCUUGAUUCUAUGGGUGGGGGGGCAUGGCCGUUCUUA